rnacentral:rRNA from 1 species
UUGGAGGGCAAGUCUGGUGCCAGCAGCCGCGGUAAUUCCAGCUCCAAUAGCGUAUAUUAAAGUUGUUGCAGUUAAAAAGCUCGUAGUUGAAUUUCGGGGUUCUACCGUUGGUCGGGCUUUGUCUGUACUGGUGUGUAGAAUUUCUACCUUCUGGGGAACCAUCAUGCUAUUAAUUUAGCGUGGUGGGAAACCAGGACCUUUACCUUGAAAAAAUUAGUGUGUUCAAAGCAGGCUUAUGUCUGAAUACAUUAGCGUGGAAUAAUAGAAUAGGACGGUGGUCCUGUUUUGCUGGUUUCUGAAUCACCGUAAUGAUUAAUAGGGAUAGUUGGGGGCAUUAGUAUUCAAUUGUCAGAGGUGAAAUUCUUGGAUUUAUUGAAGACUAACUUCUGCGAAAGCAUUUGCCAAGGAUGUUUUCAUUAAUCAAGAACGAAAGUUAGGGGAUCGAAGACGAUCAGAUACCGUCGUAGUCUUAACCAUAAACUAUGCCGACAAGGGAUCGGACGAUGUUAAUUUUUCUUGACUCGUUCGGCGCCUUACGGGAAAC